CCCGAGGUGUGAGGCCAGGAGUGUGCGGUCACGAGGCGCCCGGGAAGUGUGUCCAAUGCCCGAAGCAGCCCCCACCCGGGCGGUCCUGAGUCCGGGUCGCGCUCUGGUGUAUCUCUUUUGACGUCUGCUACCCACAGCCUGGGGCAGGAGAGUGGCGACGGCGAGGAGCAACUGCACGCGACUUGGGACCUUGCCCUGCCCCGCGGCCCGCGUCACCAUGGCAACUGCAGGCAGCCAGCACCGACGGCGGGAAAACGAGGACCGGAGCCGCGUUACAGCCUUGGCCUUCGAGCAGCCCAGGGAGAGUCUCUGCGUCCUCCAGCCCCCGCUUCCCUUCAUGUCGGAGGUCCUAAGCCCGCAGCGAAGUCCGCAAAGAGCUUUCCCCGACGCCUACGAGACCGGAAGUGCCUGGGCCCAGGUGGAGGAAGGACCCGCGUGGCCGCCUCCGCGCUCUCCCUGGGGUCCGUGCCCCUUCCGGCGUUUCUCCCGCGUCCUUCACCAUGGCAACUCGGGCGUCGGGAGCGUGGGCUGCGAGCCGAGUGGGUGGGGGAGCCGCCGGGCUCUAUCCGCCAGCCCACGAGAAGUGACGCAGGAGCACCAUUGAAGGAGAAUUAGACAAACUGGAGUCUACUGAGAUGAGGCUGUUGGGAAUGGCCCUGGUACCACAUCCUGAGCAGGGAUGGCCGAUGGAAUGGGGAGAAGACUCAGGUGGGGCUUGAGUGUGUCCUCUGAUGACUGAAGAGCCUUGGGAGCAAGCAUCCUUCCUGCUACUGUGUGUUUGCUGGUUCCAAUGAUACAUAAUUUGUGCUUUUCGUAAUUAAAGUAUUAUCCUGUA